rnacentral:rRNA from 1 species
GCAGUGGGGAAUCUUGCACAAUGGGCGAAAGCCUGAUGCAGCAACGCCGCGUGCGGGAAGAAGGCCCUAGGGUUGUAAACCGCUUUCAGUAGGGAAGAAAAUGACGGUACCUACAGAAGAAGGUGCGGCCAACUACGUGCCAGCAGCCGCGGUGACACGUAGGCACCAAGCGUUAUCCGGAUUUAUUGGGCGUAAAGAGCUCGUAGGCGGUUCGGUAAGUCGGGUGUGAAAACUCUGGGCUCAACCCAGAGAGGCCACCCGAUACUGCUGUGACUAGAGUGCGGUAGGGGAGCGGGGAAUUCCUGGUGUAGCGGUGAAAUGCGUUGAGAUCGGAAGGAACGCCCGUGGCGAAAGCGAGGUCCUGGAUGCCUACUGACGCUGAGACGCGAAAGCCAGGGGAGCGAACGGGAUUAGAUACCCCGGUAGUCCUGGCCGUAAACGAUGGGUACUGGAUAGGGGGCUCGCCGAUGGGCUCCCUGUCGUAGGGAAACCGUGAAGUACCCCGCCUGGGGAGUAUGGUCGCAAGGCUGAAACUCAAAUGAAUUGACGG